rnacentral:tRNA from 1 species
GCGGUAGCUCAGUGGUAGGGCACUUGCCUAGAAUGCGUGAAACCCUGGGUUCCACCCCCAGCACUGCA